UCAAAACUACACUAUUUUAGUGUAAUUUCAACACUAAAACCAAAGUCUUCUCCAACCAUAACACUAAACUUCACACUAAAACUAUUUUAUAAUAUUAUAUGUAUUAAGUUUUCUCCAACCCAUAACACUAUUUUAGUGCCAAAAUUACACUAUUUUAAUGUAAUUUUAGCAUUAAAAUUUUUUGCAUCUCCAACCACAACAUCAAAUAUCACACUAAAAAAAUAUUCUUCACUAUUAUAUUAUUAAUCAAGAUUCUUUUUAUUUUUUUUUUGUUUUAAUAAAUACUAAUUAUUUUAUGAGUAAAAACUGUUAACUAAUUUAAAACUAUAAUAAUAUAAUAUUUCUAUUUUAAGUAUGAAUAUAUUAUAUAACAGUUAUAUUAAAGUAUUAGUUUUAUUUUGUAAUUUAAUUUGCUUAAACUAAACUUUGUUAUAUAUUUUAUUUAUAAUAUCUGAUAUAAUUAUAAAAUAGUAAUAUAAAUUAAAUGUAAUCAAUUUUAGUUAGACAAUAUUUAAAUGAACAGUUUUGAUUUGAUCAAAAAAACAAUUUUGAAAAAAAAAAAUUUGCCGUUAGCUACAGUGCAUCACCAAAUAUGGUGUGACACUGUAGCAUAACACUAUAAUGCAGUUGUGUUUAACGUCCGGUUGGAGAGAAGAAACGUCAAAUUAUGCAUUAUUAUACCGUUUAAGCGUCCGGUUGGAGUUGACCUUAGAAAAGAAGAAGAAAUGCAUUUUUUGUUGCUAUCUUAGUCAAACAGCAAAUACUUUUAUGCCCUUGCCCAUGAUGGUAAGUGCUAACCAAGUCUUCAUCCUUAAAAGAUACAUAAACAUAUAAAACUUAAGAUCUGGAAAACAUAAAUUAUUCCAAUUCUGGUUACUCCCACUAAUGGACUUGUUAGUUACUUGCUAGGGCCGGUGCGUAAGCAAGUGACAAAUUAAAAAAGAAAAUCUUCAAUGUUGCAGAUAAUGUAAAAAAUCUUAUACACCCAAUGAUACUAUGCCAAGUGUGGAUAUGCCACAUGAUUCGAUGGACGAUAUUUUUUUGCCUUGCUUUCCAGUUUCACCAUCGUUGAUAUAACAUCAAAGAUAAUAUCUAUGUGAUUAGUAGCACAAUGUAAAUCAUAAAAGGUUGAAGUGGCUUCUUCCAUUGCUAACUAGACAUCCUGAAGCAAUAACCGAUUAAGAAUAACAAUUCACUUAGAUCACUGAAUGUUCGGGCAAGGAUCAAGGGAUAACUUUGGAUCGGGUCGACGUGGAAUCGGGUUGGACUGUUUGGAUAAGGUUCCGAUACCAUGUUAAACUAGAUAGGCUUCCAACCUAAAAUCAACUGGUGAUAAGUGGAAUGACACAUUUAUCUUAUAUAUUGAGUAUGACCUCUUUUAACUAUUGAUGUGGGAAACUUAGUCUUUAAUAAUAACAUGUAUGCUUAAUUUACAUGUUUCUCUGUAAUGCUUAUUCGUCAGUGUUUCUAAAUGAAUGGACGGCAUGCUCAUGUUCAAGAGAAUGGUAAACUGCUUAUGAAGUUUGCGUUUUCCAGGGACCAUGUUUCCCACAAUAACUGUUAGAUAUCAUCAACACUCAUGACAAUAUUAUUUAAAAAAAUUGGGUCCAAAACUAAGAUUCACAAAAUUACUAUAAAAUAUCUGCAUGUAAGUUUUAAAUGUUUCAGCCAUGGAGUUGAGCCUUGAACGCGAUGAGCCAUUUAGAAGCGGGUUUUUUAGGGUGAUCCGCAUCCACCCAUUGUUCUUCGAUCUUCACCGCAUCAUUGACAAAACAUCAGGUGGUAGAAGAACACGAGAGAGGAAGAUCUCAAGUUCUCAUAAGUCAUGUAAAUCCUUGUUGGUCGCCUCAGUAGCGUCAUUUCGACGUUUCAUCUAAAUUUUUUUCCUCUUUCCAAACUUCUUUGUACCUUUUUGUUUUCCAUCAACAAGUCGUCAUCACCACAAUUCAACUGAAAUCUGAAAGUUAAAUUUGGAGCAUUUUUUAGAAGAAGAAAUGGGUAUCCUCGAUCUCGGAACUUCUUCUUGUUAACCAAGAAAGGUGCCUCCAUUUUAUCUCCUCUGUCUUAAUUCUCAAUCACAUCAAAAGAUUAAGUAAAGAUGUUGAAGUCUUUUGAUUUGAGAAUCUUAUGAGCAUUGGGCUCAGCCGCAGUAGUAGUAAUUAAGAGGUUGGAGUCUUUUAAAAUGAGAAUGUUAUGAGCGUUAAGUUCAGCAUUAAUAGUGGUACCAAAGUUCAUAUUCUCACUUCACUGUAGCGAAGAGCAUCGAUUUCAACUCGGAUAAUCGCAUUUAAUUGUAACUUUACUUCAAAGUGGUUACUUUGCUUGAUGUGUUAGUGCAUUAGGAGUAUACUCUCGCUUACAUUCAGGAAAUAUAUAUGGGACUGUUGGAGCAUACACUUCUUAGUGAGGUUGAUUUUUAUAACUUAAAUUUGCUAGUGAGGUUGAUGUUUAUAAAAUAAAUGAAAUUACAAGUUUUAAAAUUGACUCAAAUACCUUGGCGAGUUUUGAAUUGUUAAUUUCUGAUUGAUGAAUAUUGUGCAGGCCAUUACAUGUUUUUGGUUGUCCCGCAGGCCAACUUGCUUAACUGCAUAUAUAUGGAGGGCGGGAUUGGUAUCAGUUUCAAAGACCGCAUCCUGCCGUGGGCUAUGACCUAAAUAGAACAGUUACCGCAGCAGAGCGAGACAUUUGGUCGCGGAACAACCCAAUUGCCAUCUCUAAUCACAGCCAGCACACAAAAAAACUUUGGCAUUCAUUUCCCUUUAUGAUUCACAAUGUCUCCUUCGAAACUUUUACUUCCUAACAAUAACAACAUGAAUAACUGUCUUUCUAAGAUCAUACUAAUAUACAUUACCAUACCAUCAACACAAGGGAUGUUUUCUGUC